UCUCCGUUGGUGAACCAGCGGAGGGAUCAUUACAGAGUUUUUAACUUGCAAACCCAUGUGAACUUACCAUUGUUGCCUCGGCGGAGCCUACCCUGUAGCUACCCUGUAGGGUGGUUACCCUUUAGCGCCCCACCGGUGGAUUUUCAAACUCUUGUUAUUUUUAGUAAUCUGAGCGACUUAUUUUAAAUAAGUCAAAACUUUCAGCAACGGAUCUCUUGGUUCUGGCAUCGAUGAAGAACGCAGC
rnacentral:misc_RNA from 1 species